GGCCUUUUCAGAACUGCUCAUCAGUAGUCCAUGGGGGUGGGGAUGGGGACUGAAGUCUUCAUUUCUAAUGCUUUCAAGUGAAGUUGAAGCUGUUGGUUCCAGACUCACUGAGAACAGGUCUUAUGGAAUAGAUUACAACUUCAUCUGUAUCUCAGGAUCAUUCAGGGGAGCUUUAAAAAUUCAAAGGCCAAUCUUACCCCAGGCCAAUUUGAUCUGAAUCUAUAGGGGUAGGAUCUGAACUCCAUUAUUUUAAAAUCUCCCUAGGAGACUCUUAGACACAGACAUGAUUGAUGAUCAACCUGACAGAGUUUGGAAGAUCUAGCCUCAAAGCCCAGGUGUCACUAUGGGUGGUGAGGGGUGGAUUACAUCCAUGACUUACAAAUAUGUCAUAGAACAUUGAACAUGCUCUAUUUUACUGCUGGAGAAAGGAACAUAUUCUACACAACAUUCCCUGGAAAGAGAGGACAUGGAAAUCUUGCCUCUGAACUUCUCAGGAGCAGUGUUCUUCCCACUCUGACCCUGCCAUAACUAACUUCUCAAAGUCUUCAUCAUCUCCUGAUACACCAUCAAUGAAGAACCAAUCCUGUAGACAGCCUUUGAGAGAUGUUCAAGGUUCAAACCUAGAAUGCUUCACUCUCAGCUUCCUCCUUACCUCCUAAGAGGGGGAGAGCAGCAGGGGACUGAAUUAAUCACCAGUGGUUAAUGAAUUAAUCCAUCACACUUUCACUAAAAAAGUAAUAACUAAUGAUGGAGUUCAAAAAGCUUCUGGGUUGUUGAAUACAUUUGUUUAUGGGCACCUGUCUCCAUGCCUGUUUCUUUCUACCAUGCCUGCAUGCCAUGAUAGACUCUCUAAUCUCUUUUUAAAAUUGAGAUUAUAAUAUGAUUAUGGCAUUUUCCCUUCCUAUUCAUUAUGUCAACUCUCCCUCCUCCAAUACAUCCCUUCUACUCCCCUUCAGAUUCAUAGCCUCUUUUCUUCUAGUUGUUAUUGUACACAUGUACGUAUACACAUAUAUCCAUAAUAUAGUCUGUUAAGUCCCUAUCAUGCUACCUAUAUGUAUGUUUUCAGGGAUGGUCAUUUGGCAUCGGAUGACUAAUUGGUGUGUCCUUCUCAACCCACUGGAAUUUUAAGACAAAAUAAAGUCUUUCUUCAGUA